UACAGAGGGUGCGAGCGUUAAUCGGAAUUACUGGGCGUAAAGCGUGCGCAGGCGGUGAUGUAAGACAGGUGUGAAAUCCCCGGGCUUAACCUGGGAACUGCAUUUGUGACUGCAUCGCUGGAGUGCGGCAGAGGGGGGGAUGGAAUUCCGCGUGUAGCAGUGAAAUGCGCAGAUAUCAGGAGGAACACCGAUGGCGAAGGCAGCUCGCUGGACGGUACUGACGCUGAGACGCGAAAGCGUGGGAGCAAACAGG
rnacentral:rRNA from 1 species